AGUGAGUUUCAUACUCUCUGAAGUACACACAAGCCCUUUGAUCUCACACAUUUAUUAACUGAAGCAACCGGAGAGCAAUCACAAAUCCUAAAAAUCAAUACAUUCAUACAUUUUGCAUGGGACGCUUCUUAAACACUUGUUUAAGAACACACACACACACACACACACACACACACGCACACACAGGCAGGUGGCCCAUCAAUAAUUAGGGUUAAUAUGAUCUCACUUGAACCUGAGAGGGGAAGUGUCAGUCCGCUCUUCACAGCUCAAGCAAGUGUGUGACAAAGAAAGAAGAGGGUGUGUCGUGUGACAUGAGGCUGCUGUGUGACGCUCCACUUACACAGUCUGGCAGCGGCCGGGGUGUAGAUGGCAUCUCCGUUCACGGAGCUGGAGGUGUUGACGAUCAUGUUCUCUCUCCUGGUGUUCGCCCUCUUCACGCUCACUGGGAUGCUCAACGAGGACUGUGCCCGCUCCAAUGUUAAAGAAACCCAACAGACUAUUGUCUACCUCUCAGAGACCGACGGACAGCCACAGCGCGAGGAACUGAUCGUCUGAUCGCGAAUGAAAACCCUCCGAAGGAAACAGCGGCCUCUCUCUUCCUGUCGGUCCUCACAAGGACGAGUCGGCCAGAAAAAGACGUGUGCGCGUGUGUGUCGUCAGAAAAAGUCUAACUCGUGUUCUCCGACGGCGUGUGCACGUUGUCACUUGAUCCAGUCUUUGCUUCCAGGAUGUGGCACACAAAGGAGUGGCCUAGAUUUGACACUGUAAAAAGAAAAAGUUAAUAAACAAACGCCUGCUUCAACAAACAGUA